rnacentral:piRNA from 1 species
UGAGGAUACUUGGACAGGUGCUUUCUGAAUGU